UGGGGAAUUUUGGACAAUGGGCGAAAGCCUGAUCCAGCAAUGCCGCGUGCAGGAUGAAGGCCUUCGGGUUGUAAACUGCGUUUGUACGGAACGAAAAAGCUCCUUCUAAUACAGGGGGCCCAUGACGGUACCGUAAGAAUAAGCACCGGCUAACUACGUGCCAGCAGCCGCGGUAAUACGUAGGGUGCGAGCGUUAAUCGGAAUUACUGGGCGUAAAGCGUGCGCAGGCGGUUAUGUAAGACAGAUGUGAAAUCCCCGGGCUCAACCUGGGAACUGCAUUUGUGACUGCAUGGCUAGAGUACGGUAGAGGGGGAUGGAAUUCCGCGUGUAGCAGUGAAAUGCGUAGAUAUGCGGAGGAACACCGAUGGCGAAGGCAAUCCCCUGGACCUGUACUGACGCUCAUGCACGAAAGCGUGGGGAGCAAACAGG
rnacentral:rRNA from 1 species